rnacentral:lncRNA from 1 species
UUAUUUAAUUUCUCUAAUUUUUGUUACAAAGUAAAGUAACAUCCUACAAAGCAGGUUUUGAUCAUUUCUGGCAGCAAUCAGUUUUCUUCUCUACUUUAAUUCAAGAGUAAAUUUUGUUUUCGAAUGAAUGAAUGUACAUUUGGCACCAGUUGCUGUGUUUUGCUCUAGCCUGAGACUCUAAUGCCUCUAAUUUUUUGUAUUUUUAGUAGAGACGGGGUUUCACCGUUUUAGCCGGGAUGGUCUCGAUCUCCUGACCUCGUGAUCCGCCCGCCUCGGCCUCCACUUUGAUCCCACUAUUUUAUAUAGACUGCAUUUAUAGGCUUGGAAAUCCUGUUCUCUCUAUUAAACUCCUUAGACAGGAUUAUAUUAAUCUUACUUAAAAGAAAAAACUACUUUUCUUGAUUGACAUAAAGGAAUGAAACCCUGGAAGAGGAUAAUUUCUGCAUUCUUUGUUUUUUCUUUUGUCAUCAUUUGAUUUAGAGAUAUUAGACCCCUCUGACUAAUCCAUGAAUUUUAAGUUCUUUGAAAAAGAACUUAAAUUUUCUCUACAGCUUAGAGAACUAAAGCUCUCUUUCCUUCCGUUUUUCCUUCCUUCCUUCCUUCCUUCCUUCCUUCCUUCCUUCCUUUCUUCCUUUUUUCUUCCCUCCCUCCCUUCUUUCCUUCCUUCCUUCCUUCCUUCCUUCCUUCCUUCCUUCCUUCCUUCCUUCCUUCCUUCCUUCCUUCAUGGGGUCCACAGUUUAGUUGGAGAGGCAAGUUUGUAAAAAAAUAACUAUCACCCAGUUUGUUAAGAAGUGGGCAAGGGCUGGAUGCCAUGGUUCAUGUCUGUAAUCCCAGCACUUUUCAGAGGCCAAGGAUGAGGAGGAUCACUUGAGCCCAGAAGUUUGAGACCAGCCUGGGCAACAAAAUGAGACUCCAUCUCUACAAAAAAAUUAUAGGUUUGAUGGUGUAUGUCUGUGGUCCCAAAUACGUGGAAGGCUGAAGCAGGAGGAUCGCUUGAGCCCAGGAGAUCAAGGCUGAAGUGAGUUAUGAUUGCACCACUGCACUCCAGCCUGAACAACAGAGCAAAACUCUGUCUCAGGAGGAGGAGGAGGAGGAGGAGGGGAAAGGGUGGUUUAUUGCAGCAAAAUUUUACAGUUAUGUGAGUUGUAAUGUGCUGACCACACAACUGAGGGAUUCUGCAGUAUCUGCAGAUCCUUAAAUGUCUAAAGCAUCUGCCUGAUGUUGCUGGGAUUUGCUGCCAUGCCUGUUUAGAAACUCUGUUUUGGAGCUCUGGGUCACUACAGACUGCCCAUAGUGCUUACAUUCCAGGGGCCACUUAAAGAGAUUCCACCGAAAGAUUUCUUAGAAGUAACCCUGCCAGCAAAAUUCCAGAUGCCUAUAAAAUCUGUGGCACAGCCUGUGUGCUGGAAAGAGACCACUGGGAUGGAAAUCAGGGGACAGAGCCUUAGUGUUAAUCCUCUGUUAACUCUUCAUGGUCCUGGACCUCAGUUUUCUCAUCUGCAAAAUGACCAGUUUGAACUAGAUAUUCUUUGAGGUAGAUUCCACGUGCAGCGUUUAAAAGUCUUUGCUCAGUCUGUUGUUUCAGUGGGCUCUUCAAGCACCAACAGGGGCCAAUCAGGAAGGUAGGACCUGCCUGAUGUCAACUCAGGGCACGUCCCACAAUAUUUCCAGGUGUCUUCAGGAAUAUGGAGCACCACUGUCACCCCGUGUCACCUGUAAGAUGGGAGAAGGGAACCCAGUCAAUAAAGAUUAUGAGGAGGGCCGGGCACGGAGGCUCACGCCUGUAAUCCCAGCACUUUGGGAGGCCAAGGUGGGCAGAUCACUGGGUCAGGAGUUUGAGACCAGCCUGGCCAAAAUGGUGAAACCUCCAUCUCUACUACAAAUACAAAAAUUAGCUGGGCAUGGUGGUGGGCGCCUGUAAUCCCAGCUACUUGGGAGGCUCGGGAAGGAGAAUUGCUUGAACCUGGGAGGUGGAGGUUGCAGUGAGCAGGAGUUGCAGUGAGCCGAGAUCGUACCAUUGCACUCCAGCAUGGGCAACGAGCAAAACUCCAUCUCAAAAAAAAAAAAAAAAAAAAAAGAGAUGUUGAGGAAACUGUUGCCCAGUUUCAAAUGUCUCCAUUUUUCUCAUUUCCCUGGGUGGAUGGGAAGAAAACCAUAAAUAUGUCUAGGAAGCCAGAAAUAUGAAUUGGUUACAGAU